UGGGGAAUAUUGCACAAUGUGCGCAAGCCUGAUGCAGCAACGCCGCGUGAACGAUGAAGGUCUUCGGAUCGUAAAGUUCUGUUGCAGGGGAAGAUAAUGACGGUACCCUGUGAGGAAGCCCCGGCUAACUACGUGCCAGCAGCCGCGGUAAUACGUAGGGGGCUAGCGUUAUCCGGAUUUACUGGGCGUAAAGGGUGCGUAGGUGGUCUUUCAAGUCGGUGGUUAAAGGCUACGGCUCAACCGUAGUUAGCCUCCGAAACUGGAAGACUUGAGUGCAGGAGAGGAAAGUGGAAUUCCCAGUGUAGCGGUGAAAUGCGUAGAUAUUGGGAGGAACACCAGUAGCGAAGGCGGCUUUCUGGACUGCAACUGACACUGAGGCACGAAAGCGUGGGUAGCAAACAGG
rnacentral:rRNA from 1 species